UACGUAGGUGGCAGGCGUUGUCCGGAUUUAUUGGGUUUAAAGGGUGCGCAGGCGGAUAUGUAAGUCAGUGGUGAAAUCUCUAGGCUUAACCUGGAAAUUGCCGUUGAUACUAUAUAUCUUGAAUGCUGUGGAGGUAAGCGGAAUAUGUCAUGUAGCGGUGAAAUGCUUAGAUAUGACAUAGAACACCUAUUGCGAAGGCAGCUUACUACGCAGAUAUUGACGCUCAUGCACGAAAGCGUGGGGAUCAAACAGG
rnacentral:rRNA from 1 species